GGGAGAUAGCUGGUUCUCCCCGAAAGCUAUUUAGGUAGCGCCUCGUGAACUCAUCUUCGGGGGUAGAGCACUGUUUCGGCUAGGGGGCCAUCCCGGCUUACCAACCCGAUGCAAACUACGAAUACCGAAGAAUGUUAUCACGGGAGACACACGGCGGGUGCUAACGUCCGUCGUGAAGAGGGAAACAACCCAGACCGCCAGCUAAGGUCCCAAAGUCAUGGUUAAGUGGGAAACGAUGUGGGAAGGCCCAGACAGCCAGGAUGUUGGCUUAGAAGCAGCCAUCCUUUAAAGAAAGCGUAAUAGCUCACUGGUCGAGUCGGCCUGCGCGGAAGAUGUAACGGGGCUAAACCAUGCACCGAAGCUGCGGCAGCGACACUUA
rnacentral:rRNA from 1 species